rnacentral:rRNA from 1 species
GACGAACGCUGGCGGCGUGCCUAAUACAUGCCAGUAGAACGCUGAAGGAGGAGCUUGCUUCUCUGGAUGAGUUGCGAACGGGUGAGUAACGCGUAGGUAACCUGCCUGGUAGCGGGGGAUAACUAUUGGAAACGAUAGCUAAUACCGCAUAAGAGUAGAUGUCGCAUGACAUUUGCUUAAAAGGUGCAAUUGCAUCACUACCAGAUGGACCUGCGUUGUAUUAGCUAGUUGGUGAGGUAACGGCUCACCAAGGCAACGAUACAUAGCCGACCUGAGAGGGUGAUCGGCCACACUGGGACUGAGACACGGCCCAGACUCCUACGGGAGGCAGCAGUAGGGAAUCUUCGGCAAUGGACGGAAGUCUGACCGAGCAACGCCGCGUGAGUGAAGAAGGUUUUCGGAUCGUAAAGCUCUGUUGUAAGAGAAGAACGAGUGUGAGAGUGGAAAGUUCACAAUGUGACGGUAUCUUACCAGAAAGGGACGGCUAACUACGUG